rnacentral:rRNA from 1 species
AUUGAACGCUGGCGGCAGGCCUAACACAUGCAAGUCGAGCGAGCGGCGGACGGGUGAGUAAUGUAUGGGGAACUGCCCGAUGGAGGGGGAUAACUACUGGAAACGGUGGCUAAUACCGCAUACUAUCGGAUGUACCCAUAUGGGAUUAGCUAGUAGGUGGGGUAAAGGCUCACCUAGGCGACGAUCUCUAGCUGGUCUGAGAGGAUGAUCCGCCACACUGGGACUGAGACACGGCCCAGACGCCUACGGGAGGCAGCAGUGGGGAAUAUUGCACAAUGGGCGCAAGCCUUAUGCAGCCAUGCCGCGUGUUGGAAGAAGGCCUUAGGGUUGUAAAGUACUUUCAGCGGGGAGGCUUUACCCGCAGAAGAAGCACCGGCUAACUCCGUGCCAGCAGCCGCGGUAAUAC